GNCCUGAAGAAGAGCUUGCGUCUGAUUAGCUAGUUGGUGGGGUAAGAGCCUACCAAGGCGACGAUCAGUAGCUGGUCUGAGAGGAUGAGCAGCCACACUGGGACUGAGACACGGCCCAGACUCCUACGGGAGGCAGCAGUGGGGAAUUUUCCGCAAUGGGCGAAAGCCUGACGGAGCAACGCCGCGUGAGGGAGGAAGGUCUUUGGAUUGUAAACCUCUUUUCUCAAGGAAGAAGUUCUGACGGUACUUGAGGAAUCAGCCUCGGCUAACUCCGUGCCAGCAGCCGCGGUAAUACGGGGGAGGCAAGCGUUAUCCGGAAUUAUUGGGCGUAAAGCGUCCGCAGGUGGUCAGCCAAGUCUGCCGUCAAAUCAGGUUGCUUAACGACCUAAAGGCGGUGGAAACUGGCAGACUAGAGAGCAGUAGGGGUAGCAGGAAUUCCCAGUGUAGCGGUGAAAUGCGUAGAGAUUGGGAAGAACAUCGGUGGCGAAAGCGUGCUACUGGGCUGUAUCUGACACUCAGGGACGAAAGCUAGGGGAGCGAAAGGGAUUAGAUACCCCUGUAGUCCUAGCCGUAAACGAUGGAUACUAGGCGUGGCUUGUAUCGACCCGAGCCGUGCCGAAGCUAACGCGUUAAGUAUCCCGCCUGGGGAGUACGCACGCAAGUGUGAAACUCAAAGGAAUUGACGGGGGCCCGCACA
rnacentral:rRNA from 1 species